UACAGAGGGUGCGAGCGUUAAUCGGAAUUACUGGGCGUAAAGCGCGCGUAGGCGGCUUUGCAAGUCGAGUGUGAAAUCCCCAGGCUUAACCUGGGAACUGCAUUCGAGACUGCAUAGCUAGAGUAUGGGAGAGGGAAGUGGAAUUUCAGGUGUAGCGGUGAAAUGCGUAGAUAUCUGAAGGAACAUCAGUGGCGAAAGCGACUCCUGGACCAAUACUGACGCUCAUGUGCGAAAGCGU
rnacentral:rRNA from 1 species